CACUCUGAAAUCUCUUUUUGUUUCCUGUGUAUGGGCUUUGGUUUUAUUUCUCUGUUUGGUGUGUGGGUCUUGGGUCUAAGCAGCCCCAGCCCAGUGUCUGGCCCAUGGCCAGCGUUCAAGAAAUGUUUUAAAUGUUUUAAAGGGAAAGGGAUGUGCUGAGAUCCUGAUUGUGGGGAUUUCCAGAAUGAGGGAGGAGACAAGCAUUCAGUGCUACUGGGUCUGAGAAAACUUCAACCUACUUGUUCUAGAACUUCCAGUGUGGGGCCUCAAGAGAAAAGGAGCAAUUUACAUCUGCCUGAAAUCUGAGCUCCAUAGAAUCUUUCAUAUGGAUAUAAAGCUUCCCAGGGAUGAAAAGAAUCUGAUGAGGUGGAGAUGACUGCUGUGGGGGCAGAGGCUGUCAGGAUGGGAAGGACUUCCUGGGCACACAGCCAGUGCCAGAGUUCCAGGGGUGACCUGUGUUCUUGGAGCACCACGUGGGUGGCAGCACAGAUGUGGCUGAGGAAGGAUGGGGUCUGAGUCCAUCUAAGAUGCUCUCUGUCCUCCCUCGAACCUUGCUUUGUGGGGGCCUCCUGUCCCCACCUCCCCAACCCUUGGAUCAGAUGCUGGUGACCUGCGCACCAUGUUCUGGAGUCACAGACAGUAAGAUCCCGCUGUGGUUAGGAAGGGCCCCUGCCCCCCACCCCACCCCCAGCAUGCCGUUAUCAGGCUGGGCUCGGGGCUGCAUAAAGGCGCUCCCUUAAAGUAAGGUUCAGAGCCAGGAUAACUUUGUAAAUGGUCACAAGGCCCCACCUUGACCAACUCAAGGAGUGUUCUCUCUCUUGAAGCUUGUUUCCCACAUUCUGGAAAAGGAGAGGGGCUUCAGGGUCUGUUUUUAUAAAAGCCCCCUGACUCCCCACAUCAGAGCAGGGAUUCUGUUAAGUGUGUUCACUUCGGUCACUCUGACCUAUGGCAGGGCCCCCAAAUGGACUCCUGACUGGAGGCAUGAAUUCUGAGUCUGGGCAGCUCC
rnacentral:lncRNA from 1 species